GGGCGGGGAGCGGUUGAAAGCGGCAGGUUGCUAACCUGUUAUAGGGCCUUAAAACCCUAUCGAGGGUUCGAAUCCCUCCCUCUUCGCCCU
rnacentral:tRNA from 1 species